CUCCAAACGGCCUCCAUGGAUCCCGCAGUCCAGGCAGCAGGGUGCUCACGAGGGCGCAGUGGGACCUAGGGGACUAAGAGGAUACUGGCUGGUUUUGCACCAGGAGAAACAGAGGUGGCCGGGUCAUCUUUGGGAGUCCCAGCUGCCAGCGUUCUCCUCAGGGCUGGGCUGGGUUCACGGAGGGAGGAGGUGGCGAUGCACUGGCUGAGGACGUGCCCAGACGAAGUCUCGGUCCCCAGCAUGGAGAAGCCAGCCCCGGCGUGACCCGCAGCCAGGGCUGGACCAGGAGCCCAGAACCCAACCUGGAUCUCCCGUGUGAGAAGCAGAGACCCGACUGCUCGAGCCCUGCCUGGUGCACCUCAGCAGGAAGCUGGGAGCCCAGAGCAGGCUGGGGCUGAGCUGAGGCCCUCCAGCGUGGGACACAGACAUCAUGACCAUCGGGCCAAAUGCCUGCCCCAGGCGGAGCAGCCGCUCAGCAGCAACCACACAGUGAUCAUCUGUGUGUGUAAAGUUACGUCUGUCCCAGCCCCAGGUCUCUGCUCUGUGAGGCUUCCGACUGCUAAAUCCAGCUGCUGACUGGACCUCUCCAGGUAACUCAAAGUCAACAGAUCAAGAUCCAACUCAUCUGCCUCCACAUCUCUCUUCCCCACCACUGCUGCUCUCGGUCUAGGCACGCUAAUUCAGAGCUAGCAGGUCCAUCUCUUCUCCUCCUGCCCCAGCCUCCAAGUCCUGUUGAUCCUCCUCCUGUGAUGCUCCCAUGCUUCAUUGACUCAAGCUUCAAUCAUUGCUCACCCAAAUUACCCCAGCAAAGCUCAUCUCCUGGCUUUCCUCCAAUCUAGCGUCCAUUUGGCUGCCAGCAUCAUCAUCCAAAAACAGAUCUGCUCACAUCACUCCCCUGCUUUAAAUCCUUGUGUGACUCCGGCCAGCACUUGCCACAGCCCACUGAAAAUUGCUUACUGUUGUCGUCUUCAGGUUGCUAUAAACAUGGGGGCAAAGGCAAUGUGCUGUUUCCCCAGUGGCCAGCACAGUACCUGGCAUAGGGCAGGUGCUUAAUAACUAUUUCGGUGGAAGAAUUCCAAGUCUCACCAGAUGCCGCCUGGACUGUGCUAACCGCAGACUUCAGACAGGCAGACUUGGCAGGUCUGAGUGCCAACACUGCCAACCGCCAGCUACUUGGCCUGGGAAAUUCAUUACAUUUUGUCGGCCUCAGUUUCCUUACCACCAACCUCACAGAGAAUGAGAUGGCACAAGGUUUAGUGCGAUGCCUGGCACGGAGGAACAUUCAAUAAAUUACUGCCAUCGUGGCUACUGACAGCAAUCACAGGCGCCGUGGUGCAGCGGGUUAAGCCACAGCUUGCAUCGACUGCAUCAUAUUGGGAAGGCCUGGUUCCAGUCCUGGCUGCCCCCCGCUUCUGACCCAGCUCCAUGCUAACGUGCCUGGGAGGCAGCAGACAAUGGCCCAAGUACUUGGGUUUCUGCCACCCACGUGGGUAAUCCAGAUGGAGUUCCCAGCCCCUGGAUUCAGACUGGUUCAGCCUGGCUGGUAAGAGGCAAUUGGGAAGGGAACCAGAAGAUGAAACCUUUCUCUCUCCCUGUCACUCUUUCAAAUAAAUAACUUUUUAAAAAAUAAAUCAAGAUUACAAAAGAAUUCCAAGAUUUUCACACCAGAACCAUUGAAACUCUGAGAAGUAACUCACUGUCACAAAUUUACUAAGGCAAAAAUCAGACCUAAAACCCAGUCCCGAUGCUAUGUAACUUGCUGUUAAGCCGUCAGCUAUCUGGUGGACUGAGGUAUGGGGUACAAGAAAGUGCUCUGUGAACUACAACAGGAUAUUGUACUGCUAUCUACUGUAGAUGUAGGAUAUGCACAGUUGCACCUGGCAUAUUACAUACACAGGGGUUCGUAAACUUGAACUUGCGCUAACGUGCCUUGAGGCAAGUUCAUAAUUACGGUACUGAUCUUCCCUAUUGUUGGCUGUAAUCAUCUAUUAAACUCAGGAGUCAAAUGAUUCUCCUUGGAGCCUUCAUUCUAUCAGUGGUUCUUAAGGCAGAGGGAAGGGCAGCGCUAUCCCAAACACAGGCCAUGACAGCCACUUUCUUACCUGAAGCCUUAGACUAUCACAAGUAUGUCUGGCAGGUCACGGUUCUCACCGGCUCACCGUCACCUGCAGCAGAGGCUCUCCGAGCAUUAGAAAAUCUCCUGAUGCUAUGAAAACGCACAUGGACACAAGCUUGUAUUUAUUUUAUCAUGCAUACAGCUCCACUCUGAAGGACCUUCAAUUUAAGGCAAUUUGGUCUCCCCCAAGGGUGGCAGGGACCCAACUACUUGAGCCAUCACCUGCUGCCUCCCAGAGUUGUGCAUGAGCAGGGAGCUGAAUGGGGAGCAGAGCCAGGACUUGAACCCAGGCCCUCCAAUAUGGGAUGUGGGUGUCCCAGGUUGAUGGGGAUUCAGGCAGAAAUCUGUUAUGAGCUUUGUCGUGAAUCAACUGAAGCCAGGACCCUGGGGACACAGGGACUGAAAAGGAAGGGGGUGGAAGUACAGAAAAUUCCCAGGCACCCUUGCAAGCUGAGCUGGGAUCCGACUAGAAAAGACCAUGAAGAUAAACAGUCAAGGCAAUGUCUGGUUCUUCCUUGAGCCACUACCUGCUAACUACCAGGGUACACAUUAGCAGGAAGCUGCAAUGGAGAACAGGGGCCAGGACUCCAGUUCAGGCACUCUGAUACAGGAUGUGGGCAUUGUAAGCAGUAUCGUAACUGCUGCUCCAAAUAUCCUACCACCCCAGCACCCUAGUUCCUGGUUCUUCUUGGUGACCAAGAGUGAGGCUGAGCUCUUCCCAACACUGAACUGGAGAGAUCAGGUGCCUUUCUAGCCAGGAAGUGGAGCCAGCGCUCUGACAUAGUGGGUGAAGCCGCCGCCUGCAGUGUCAGCAUCCCAUAUGGGUGCUGGUUUGAGUCUUGGUUGCUCUACUUCCAAUCCAGCUUUCUGCUAUGGCCUGGGAAAACAGUGGAGGAUGGCCCAAGCCCUUGGGCCCCUGCAGCCAUGUGGGAGACCCUGAGGAAGCUCCUGGCUCCUGAUCGGCGCAGCUAGAUGUUGCAGCCAAAUGGAGAAUGAACCAGUGGAUGGAAGACCUCUCUCUCUCUCUGUCUCCU